rnacentral:lncRNA from 1 species
AAGCCCCGCCUCUCAGGGCGGCUCUGACCACAGUUCAGCUACAGACUCGGGUGGUCAGGCACCCACGGGGUCUCCCUCCAGUUGUCUGGGAGCUCGAAGACGGGGGCAGGCAACGGAAGGCCCAGGCAGUGAAGCUGUGCUGCCCAGUCCAUCCCCUGGCGAGUCCUGGGAAGCAGGCAGCCCUCAUACUGGGCCACCUCCAGCUUUCUUUUUGUCUUGUUCAAUCUGUGGCGGACUCAAGGUAAAGCCCCCUCCCUGAGAUAGCAGGCUGUCCGCUGCUGCCAAGAACUGGAUACGCCCUUCCACGGAGGGGAGGAGGGACCCCAUAGCCUCUUUGCAGAGGAGGUGCCCUGUGCUGAUUUGAGAAGCCACCAGUCCUGUAGCAAGGGCCUCAGGGGCAGGGUGACAAACACAGGGCUGUCCUCCCCUAGGUGGGUGCUAUGGCUGCUGGAGGCAGGUCAGGUUGAGGUCAGAAGAGCUCCUGACCCAGUCUUUCCAGGAUCAUCUCACCCCCUGGAUCAGGCAGAAGGAAGCCAUGCUCAUAGGCUAUCUAUUGCACUGUUGGGGGCUGUGCCCACCCCAUUGGGUCAGAUCUCAGUGACUAGGCUUGUCCUGGCCACAGUCCUCUUCCUGGAUAACUGGCCCUCUGGAUAACUGGUCAUUUCUGCAGUGUGCAGACACACUUCCUAUCCAAAGUCAAACCUACCACGGCUCCUCUAGACAUCCUAGUCUGCGAGCCAGCAGCUCUGUGUGUGCAGCCCAUAGCCUGGGCACAGUCUAUAUGCGAUCUGCUUGACACAUCACCCUGCGGCACCCACAGGUGGGAUCGGUGUCCCAUCCCACGAGGAGGAAACUGACGCUCAGGAGGCUCCAUGACUUUCGGGGUCUCUGACACUGACCUCCCCCCACUCCACACACACUCACACUGCAGAUCAGUCUGCUCCUGGGCCCCUGGAGGGCUCUGAGAAGUGGGCUGCCUGACAGGGGUGUGCCUGGCCCCCAGAAGCUGAGUUUGCCCAGGGUCCUGAGAUCAGUUUGCUGGAGGGCCUCUUGCAGAGCCUUCCAAAAGCGUUCCCUGUGUGCCUCCUUGCUGGGACCAGGAAGCUGGUGGCCAGGACCAGGUGGAAGAAAUAAGGAGGGCUCUGGCCCUGCCCACAGGUCACCCUGGCUCUGUGCUUGGGCUGUCUACCUCCCCAGGCUGCGUGCUCCCUUGCACAGAACAGAGGUGCUCCACUUCCCCACGUCAGAGGGGCAGUGUGGCUGUGCCCACCCCUUAGGCGUCCCUCCAUUGCCACCUACAGUUCCGACUGGCAGGCCAACCCACCUGUAAAAGCCUCGAUCUGUACCUGCAUUGCGGCCAAUCGUGUUGCUCUACUGCGUUUCAAAAAUCUGUUUGUAAUACAUUCUCAGACUGGAAAUAAAGUUAUCUUUUCUUAUU